rnacentral:rRNA from 1 species
UACAGAGGUCCCGAGCGUUGUUCGGAUUUACUGGGCGUAAAGGGCGCGUAGGCUGCGCGGCGUGUCGAGUGUGAAAUCUCCGGGCUCAACCCGGAAAGUGCGCUCGAAACUACCGCGCUGGAGUGCGGGAGGGGGAAUCGGAAUGCAGGGUGUAGCGGUGAAAUGCGUUGAUAUCCUGCAGAACACCGGAGGCGAAGGCGGAUUCCUGGAACGCAACUGACGCUGAGGCGCGAAAGUCGGGGGAGCAAAC